rnacentral:rRNA from 1 species
UACAGAGGUCUCAAGCGUUGUUCGGAUUCAUUGGGCGUAAAGGGUGCGUAGGCGGCGCGGUAAGUCGGGUGUGAAAUCUCGGAGCUUAACUCCGAAACUGCAUUCGAUACUGCCGUGCUUGAGGACUGGAGAGGAGACUGGAAUUCUUGGUGAUAGCAGUGAAAGUUCGAUAGAUAUUGGGAGGAACACCGGUGCGAAGGCGGCGAGCUGGUCCAUUACUGACGGCUGAGGCGCGACAGCGUGGG